UGGGGGAAGAUGUUGGGGCCAUGGGGGAUAUUAGGGGUGUCAGGGUUGUGGGGUUGUUGACAAGUGUCCGGGCAGGGGCUGAGGCACUCUGCCCUGAGUGGUGGUGUUGCCCUGCUUUGCCCCAGCCCUGCUGUGUGGUAGUUGGGGGAGCAGGACAGAGCUCACCCCAUUCUGGGAACGGCAUGAGCAGUGAUACAGGUGGUGAAUUGCAACUCCCACCCGUCAGUCUGAGCCUGUAACUAGAAAAGGAAUGUCUGGAGUCAAAGAAGAUGGGUUUGGGUCUGUGCUGGGAGCAGAGAUUGGGCCCUUACAGGGAACAGACACAAACAGAUUGCCAUGAGGGAGAAUACUGUUCAGUUGAAUGACUGCUCUAUCAGUGGUGUGGUAAGAUUUUAUAGUGAUCUGUUGUCUUCUGCUAUUGCUACCAUGGGCUUCAGACACUUUCUAUACUAGCUGCUUCUUCAUAAGUCAUGAUGGUAGACUGAUUCCCUGCAACGGAGGAGAGAGAGGUAGAAGUCUUGUGGUGAGUCUGACUGAUCUACAGAAUAAAGAACUUUUGAUGUUCAAAACUCUAUGGUUGCAGGUUACCACAACAGACGGGACCAUUGUGAUCAUCUAAUCUGACCUGCUGCAUAACACAGGCCUUAAUUAAGUUUUUGAACUAGAGCCUAUCUUUUAGAAAUAUAUUCCAUUUUAAAGUUUUCCAGUGAUGGAGAAUCCACUACAAUCCCUGGCAAGUUGUUCCAAUGGUUAUUACCCUGUUAAAUUUGUACCUUAUUUUUACUCUUAAUUUGUCUAGCUUCGGCUUCUAGCCACUGGAUCUUGUUAUGGUGAAGGGGAAAAAAGAUGCCUUCCUUCACCAUUAUAGUGUCCACAGUUACACGCUGCAGAACUCUUCCAGGUGAUUAAAAGGUGGGUCCUCUGAUGACAAAGAAUCCCCCCUUUGGACUCCCGCCCCCUCAAAGGCCUCAUGUUGUGGUGACAGGCUGUGCACAGCUCCCUUGGAACCCAUCAAAACUGCACCAUAGAGAAGGAAGUGCUUCCCCGGGACUGGACAUGCUGCCUCCUCAAUGCUGCCAGCCUAGGGCCCUGACCCUGAUCUCCCAUAGUGCUCCAUUAUAGAGCCCAGCCCAUCAUCUCUAAAGGAAACUUCAGUUUAAUCAGCUUUUCUGCAUUCUCCCUGGUUAGCUGAUAAAACAGAAGCAGCUGAAUAUUGAGACAUUAUAGCAGUUUGAGUCACAAGUGAAAACAAACUCCAUAUCCUAUAGAGCCAUGAAUCCAAACUUACCCUGAAC